rnacentral:rRNA from 1 species
UACGGGGGGGAGCAAGCGUUGUUCGGAUUUACUGGGCGUAAAGGGCGCGUAGGCGGUCGUGACAAGUCACUUGUGAAAUCUCCGGGCUUAACUCGGAACGGUCAAGUGAUACUGUCGGACUAGAGUACAGAAGGGGCAACUGGAAUUCUCGGUGUAGCGGUGAAAUGCGUAGAUAUCGAGAGGAACACCUGCGGCGAAGGCGGGUUGCUGGGCUGAUACUGACGCUGAGGAGCGAAAGCCAGGGGAGCAAACGGGG